AUGAUCAUCUUGGCCUGGAACUGCCGAGGAUUGGGGUUGGACUCGGCAGUGGGCGAACUUCGGGACCUGGUUAGGUCGUACAACCCAGCGGUGGUCUUUUUAUCUGAAACCAAGAAGAGAUCGGGAGCUAUGGAUAGGCUAAAGUGGAGCUUGGAUUUCAACAAGGGUGUGGCGGUGGAUUGUAAGGGCAAGAGUGGAGGUCUAGCGUUGUGG
rnacentral:rRNA from 1 species